CGCCGACGAGAGAACGACCGCUGACGUUGUGGCAAACCAAAUCCAUCGGCCAGGUGACGGUGGCACCCAGGUGCACAAGCACAGAAGCACCCGUACUUUGCAGUGCGUCCCUUACAGCUCACACUGUCGUCUCCCCUCUGAUCGUUGCGCAUCUACGCGCGUCUUCGAUCGGCAAGAAAAGUUUUUUCGAAAAGGUAACGUCGAUUCACACCUCAGCGCGGCAGCGACGCGUCUCUGUAGGGCCGCCUUUUCCUGAGCAAACUCAAGCCCCCUUAUCCAUCAACCUCUGCCCCCAAUGCUGACUUGCAGUCUGAAGCAGGCCGAUCGCACUCGCAGCGAUGCCUCGCUGGUGACUGUGGAGGAGUUGGGCGGGUGGGCCUCGGUUGCGGAAGCGCUUCUCGGAGAAUGCGCAUGCGCCGCCCUUGUCGACGUCGCGGAGCCGUCCGCGCGAGCUCGGCUGGUUGUCGAGUACGCCGACUCCCUUGUGGCGCUUGUGCGCAUACAUGCAGCUGACGUGGCCGCGCUUCAAUGUCGCGCCGCCACCGCCGAGGAGAAGCGGAGUGACGCCCUCGCACAUCAACUGCAUGCUGUCGUUCAAGAAUGCGAGACGAUGAGAUCCAACCUUGGCUCCGAGCGCACCUCUCGCGCCGCCUUGGAGGAAGAAUCGCGUCGCUUGUUAAAUGAGCUGCUGAUCACACAGGAGGAAAGGGAUGCGCUGCGAGCAGAGCGAACGGCCUUGUGGUGCGCCGUGCGAGAGGCGCAGGCGGUGGCAGGCGUCACGUGCGCCGCCAAGGCGACGAUGGAAGAGCAUGUCCGCGUAUUGUGUGAGUGGGUGAGAAGCGCACAGGCGGAGCUGACCAGCGCCGCUGCGCUUAUGGGGGCCACUACCCCGCUACCAGUCGCUGUCGCCCCUUAUCAGCCGGCGCGUCUGCUGUACCGCCGUAUUCUUCCUACCACCCCGAUGAACCCGGUUACUGCCUCCCUUUUGCGAGUUAAGGAGCAGGUGCAGCAGAUGCGCGAGCCCUCUGUAGCGGAACUGCAGUUGGCGGUGGGCAUGUAUCGACAUCGGGGAGACGAAGCAGCAGCACCGCUGACACCUUCACCGCGAGCACGGGCGGCCACGGUAACAGCGGCCGUGUCGACUCCCGCGCCUCUCCUGGUGAAUCGAUCGCUGGGCCGGUCUCGCUCCUGCACACCCCAUCGCAGCACGAACGGAUCUGCAACGCAGCGGGAAGAGGAUGUGGUUGCUUCGCCGCCCUGGCGCACUCGCAUGAUGAAGCUGCAGGAGGAACUGAAGGGGCUGCGGCGGGAAUUAGGCACGGCAGCCGCCCCCCCUUGACUGUGCGGAGGCACAGCAACAUCCUUUUCUCGUAUGCUUCUGUGAAGUGUGCGUCAAAGCCCCGCCCUUGCCGCUACCUGCUCCCCUCCCCGCGUGCCCCCUCCAACCACUUCCGCUGCUCAGCGGCUUUUGGGGAGGGGGGGGGGGCAGGUAGCGGGUAGCGGGUAGCAGAAGAGAGGAAAGAAAAGUGGGGCGGUGCGCGGGUGAGCCGCGCGCCGGCGCGUGCACAUACACAACUCUGCAAGCAGAAGACGUACACCAAUCGAUGUGUGAGGCGCGG
rnacentral:misc_RNA from 1 species